UACAGAGGUCCCAAGCGUUGUUCGGAUUCAUUGGGCGUAAAGGGUGCGUAGGCGGCGCGGUAAGUCGGAUGUGAAAGCCCUCGGCUCAACCGGGGAAGUGCAUUCGAAACUGCUGUUCUUGAGUACGGAAGAGGCGAGUGGAAUUCCUGGUGUAGCGGUGAAAUGCGCAGAUAUCAGGAGGAACACCAAUUGCGAAGGCAGCUCGCUGGGACGUUACUGACGCUGAGACGCGAAAGCGUGGGGAGCAAACAGG
rnacentral:rRNA from 1 species